UACAGAGGGUGCAAGCGUUGUCCGGAAUCAUUGGGCGUAAAGCGCGCGUAGGCGGCCCGGUAAGUCCGUUGUGAAAGUCAAAGGCUCAACCUUUGAACGCCGAUGGAUACUGCCGGGCUAGAGUCCGGAAGAGGCGAGUGGAAUUCCUGGUGUAGCGGUGGAAUGCGCAGAUAUCAGGAGGAACACCAAUAGCGAAGGCAGCUCGCUGGGACGGUACUGACGCUGAGGCGCGAAAGCGUGGGGAGCGAACAGG
rnacentral:rRNA from 1 species